rnacentral:lncRNA from 1 species
AGCCCCUAGCGCAGACGGCGGAGAGCAGAGAGGGAGCGCGCCUUGGCUCGCUGGCCUUGGCGGCGGCUCCUCAGGAGAGCUGGGGCGCCCACGAGAGGAUCCCUCACCCGGGUCUCUCCUCAGGGAUGACAUCAUCCGUCCACCUCCUUGUCUUCAAGGACCACCUCCUCUCCAUGCUGAGCUGCUGCCAAGGGGCCUGCUGCCCAUCUACACCUCACGAGGGCACUAGGAGCACGGUUUCCUGGAUCCCACCAACAUACAAAGCAGCCACUCACUGACCCCCAGGACCAGGAUGGCAAAGGAUGAAGAGGACCGGAACUGACCAGCCAGCUGUCCCUCUUACCUAAAGACUUAAACCAAUGCCCUAGUGAGGGGGCAUUGGGCAUUAAGCCCUGACCUUUGCUAUGCUCAUACUUUGACUCUAUGAGUACUUUCCUAUAAGUCUUUGCUUGUGUUCACCUGCUAGCAAACUGGAGUGUUUCCCUCCCCAAGGGGGUGUCAGUCUUUGUCGACUGACUCUGUCAUCACCCUUAUGAUGUCCUGAAUGGAAGGAUCCCUUUGGGAAAUUCUCAGGAGGGGGACCUGGGCCAAGGGCUUGGCCAGCAUCCUGCUGGCAACUCCAAGGCCCUGGGUGGGCUUCUGGAAUGAGCAUGCUACUGAAUCACCAAAGGCACGCCCGACCUCUCUGAAGAUCUUCCUAUCCUUUUCUGGGGGAAUGGGGUCGAUGAGAGCAACCUCCUAGGGUUGUUGUGAGAAUUAAAUGAGAUAAAAGAGGCCUCAGGCAGGAUCUGGCAUAGAGGAGGUGAUCAGCAAAUGUUUGUUGAAAAGGUUUGACAGGUCAGUCCCUUCCCACCCCUCUUGCUUGUCUUACUUGUCUUAUUUAUUCUCCAACAGCACUCCAGGCAGCCCUUGUCCACGGGCUCUCCUUGCAUCAGCCAAGCUUCUUGAAAGGCCUGUCUACACUUGCUGUCUUCCUUCCUCACCUCCAAUUUCCUCUUCAACCCACUGCUUCCUGACUCGCUCUACUCCGUGGAAGCACGCUCACAAAGGGCUAAUCUCGGGCCUUGUCGAAGGAAGAGGCUGCAGACGUUAAUGAGGUUAGCUGCUGGAUUCCAGUAUUCGUCGCAUAAGGAUCCUUCUUUGUCUGCGAAGGAAAAACACACUGAUUAUCAUAAUGAGGCACGUGGGCCGUGGCCCGGCUGGGUCGGCUGAAGAACUGCGGAUGGAAGCUGCGGAAGAGGCCCUGAUGGGGCCCACCAUCCCGGACCCAAGUCUUCUUCCUGGCGGGCCUCUCGUCUCCUUCCUGGUUUGGGCGGAAGCCAUCACCUGGAUGCCUACGUGGGAAGGGACCUCGAAUGUGGGACCCCAGCCCCUCUCCAGCUCGAAAUCCCUCCACAGCCACGGGGACACCCUGCACCUAUUCCCACGGGACAGGCUGGACCCAGAGACUCUGGACCCGGGGCCUCCCCUUGAGUAGAGACCCGCCCUCUGACUGAUGGACGCCGCUGACCUGGGGUCAGACCCGUGGGCUGGACCCCUGCCCACCCCGCAGGAACCCUGAGGCCUAGGGGAGCUGUUGAGCCUUCAGUGUCUGCAUGUGGGAAGUGGGCUCCUUCACCUACCUCACAGGGCUGUUGUGAGGGGCGCUGUGAUGCGGUUCCAAAGCACAGGGCUUGGCGCACCCCACUGUGCUCUCAAUAAAUGUGUUUCCUGUCUUAACAAAAAAAAAAAAAAA